GACGAACGCUGGCGGCGUGCUUAACACAUGCAAGUCGAACGGAAAGGCCCUGCUUUUGUGGGGUGCUCGAGUGGCGAACGGGUGAGUAACACGUGAGUAACCUGCCCUUGACUUUGGGAUAACUUCAGGAAACUGGGGCUAAUACCGGAUAGGAGCUCCUGCUGCAUGGUGGGGGUUGGAAAGUUUCGGCGGUUGGGGAUGGACUCGCGGCUUAUCAGCUUGUUGGUGGGGUAGUGGCUUACCAAGGCUUUGACGGGUAGCCGGCCUGAGAGGGUGACCGGCCACAUUGGGACUGAGAGACGGCCCAGACUCCUACGGGAGGCGGCAGUGGGGAAUAUUGCACAAUGGGCGGAAGCCUGAUGCAGCAACGCCGCGUGCGGGAUGACGGCCUUCGGGUUGGAAACCGCUUUCGCCUGUGACGAAGCGUGAGUGACGGUAAUGGGUAAAGAAGCACCGGCUAACUACGUG
rnacentral:rRNA from 1 species